rnacentral:rRNA from 1 species
GACGAACGCUGGCGGCGUGCCUAACACAUGCAAGUCGAACGGGACUUAGCGGAAUGCGGCUUCGGCCAAAGGAAACUAAGUUUAGUGGCGAACGGGUGAGUAACGCGUGAGGAACCUGCCUUUCAGUGGGGGACAACAGUUGGAAACGACUGCUAAUACCGCAUAACAUAUCGGGAUCGCAUGAUUCUGAUAUCAAAGCUUUAUGUGCUGAAAGAUGGCCUCGCGUCUGAUUAGCUAGUUGGUGGGGUAACGGCUCACCAAGGCGACGAUCAGUAGCCGGUCUGAGAGGAUGAACGGCCACAUUGGGACUGAGAUACGGCCCAGACUCCUACGGGAGGCAGCAGUGGGGAAUAUUGGGCAAUGGGGGGAAACCCUGGCCCAGCAACGCCGCGUGAAGGAAGAAGGCCUUCGGUUGUAAACGUUCUUUACUAGGACGAAGUAAAUAGACGGUACC